AUGACGCCACAUUCGCAGACAGUUCAAAUAGACUCAGACAUUUUCAAACCAGCGUCUGCUGUUGAAUAAAUGGCUUAUAUGUGUGGGUUAUACUCAACGUUAUUAAACUGGCUCGCUCUCACGUCACCUUAUUCACACAAAGACAGAUGGACCUCGAAGAGUUUACUCACCAAGUGGGAAACAAUCUUCGUGUCGGCCCCCUCCGUUGAUCAAAAUGCUUCAACAUGAGAUAGCGUUUGGAUUUAUUGAUUAUGUGCCGACACACCCCAGGGCUUACCACCUUUGUAUAUAAAGAAAUCUGCUCAACGCAGAUCACAUUAUCAGAUCAACAUCAACUGUCUUAGUCCACACCACACAAAAAACAAACAAUGCAGUUUUCGAUCAUAUCCAACAGCCUCCACAGCCUUGCCGUUUCGCCUGGGCUGUUAAUGAUGUCCCUUCUUACGAUGAUUACUCCCACUCGGAUAGCAACGAUGGCACGGUGACCACCGGAUCUUGCCGUGUCGCCCUGGCCAACGGUCGUACUCAAAUCGUUACUUACAAGGCUGACAGCUAUGGUUACGUGGCCGAUGUCAAGUACGAAGCCAAAUGCCCACCUAUACCGACUACAACAAACGUGCCUAUUAUCCAACUUACCCCAAAUAACAAAAGCCUUUCAUUUAUCUUAUUUGUUUUUGCAUUCUCCCUAUAGUUGGCCAAUGAAGAUGAAAGAGAAACAUGACUGUCUAACCCUCCUCCUCCUCCUCCCCCUCCCCCUCUGAAGCAAAAGAAUAGAGUUUCCAUGGGCUUAUAGAGUUUAUGUUUAUGAAUACAAUCUGAAAU